rfam:Loxodonta africana unplaced genomic scaffold scaffold_44, whole genome shotgun sequence.
ACAAAGGCUCUUUUCAGAGCCCCCACCGUUUCAAAAGAAGAGCUA